UGGCUCAGUGGUAGAGUGCUUGCCUUGUAUGCAUGAGACCCUGGGUUCGAUUCCUUA
rnacentral:tRNA from 1 species